CACGUAGGGUGCGAGCGUUGUCCGGAAUUAUUGGGCGUAAAGAGCUCGUAGACGGUGUGUCGCGUCGGCCGUGAAAACCUGCAGCUUAACUGUGGGCUUGCGGUCGAUACGGGCAUCACUGGAGUUCGGCAGGGGGAGACUGGAAUUCCUGGUGUAGCGGUGAAAUGCGCAGAUAUCAGGAGGAACACCGGUGGCGAAGGCGG
rnacentral:rRNA from 1 species